rnacentral:rRNA from 1 species
CCUACGGGAGGCAGCAGUGGGGAAUAUUGGACAAUGGGCGAAAGCCUGAUCCAGCCAUGCCGCGUGUGUGAAGAAGGCCUUCGGGUUGUAGAGCACUUUCAGUGGGGAAGAAAGCCUUGGGGCUAAUACCCUCGAGGAAGGACAUCACCCACAGAAGAAGCACCGGCUAACUCCGUGCCAGCAGCCGCGGUAAUACGGAGGGUGCGAGCGUUAAUCGGAAUUACUGGGCGUAAAGCGCGCGUAGGCGGUCUGAUAAGCCGGUUGUGAAAGCCCCGGGCUCAACCUGGGAACGGCAUCCGGAACUGUCAGGCUAGAGUGCAGGAGAGGAAGGUAGAAUUCCCGGUGUAGCGGUGAAAUGCGUAGAGAUCGGGAGGAAUACCAGUGGCGAAGGCGGCCUUCUGGACUGACACUGACGCUGAGGUGCGAAAGCGUGGGUAGCAAACAGGAUUAGAUACCCCAGUAGUC